UACAGAGGUCCCAAGCGUUGUUCGGAUUCACUGGGCGUAAAGGGUGCGUAGGCGGUCGGGUAAGUCUGAUGUGAAAUCUCACAGCUUAACUGUGAAACUGCAUUGGAUACUAUUCGGCUUGAGAGUUGGAGGGGGGACUGGAAUUCUUGGUGUAGCAGUGAAAUGCGUAGAUAUCUGGAAGAACACCAAAGGCGAAGGCAGUGUCCUGGGUGGUCGCUGACGCUGAGAGGCGAAAGCCAGGGGAGCGAACGGG
rnacentral:rRNA from 1 species